GCUUAGAAGCAGCCAUUCAUUUAAAGAGUGCGUAACAGCUCACUUAUCAAGAGAUUUUGCGCGGAAGAUUCAACGGGGCUCAAGCAUAUUACCGAAGAUAUGAAUGUCACCAGCAAUGGUGGCGUGGUAGAGGAGCGUUGAUAUCGCGCCGAAGCCAGACUGUAAGGUCUGGUGGAGCGUUAUCAAGUGAGAAUGCUGGAAUGAGUAACAAGAAAGAAGGGUGAGAAUCCCUUCCACCGAAAGAGCGAGGUUUCCUGGGCCAUGGUAAUCAUCCCAGGGUUAGUCGGUCCUAAGCCGAGGCGCAGCAGCGUAGGCGAUGGACAACGGGUUAAUAUUCCCGUACCGGUGUUAAUUUGUAUCUUGGUGCGCAUUGGACCAAGCUGAAGCGGAUUUUUGGUAAUAUCCGUCUAACCAGUCUUCACGGGCUGGGAAUGAAAGACCGCAUUCGCGGUUGAUUUCGGCCGACACAGUGCCCAGAAAAGCCAAGUGCUUAUGAUUAGCGCCGACCGUACCGCAAACCGACACAGGUGCUCAGGUCGAGUAGACUAAGGUGUACGAGUGAAUCUUCGUUAAGGAACUCGGCAAAACAGCGACCGUAACUUAGGGAUAAGGUCUGCCCGCGCAAGCGGGCCGCAGCUAAGGAACCCAUGCAACUGUUUACCAAAAACACAGGUCUCUGCUAACACGAAAGUGGAUGUAUAGGGGCUGACGCCUGCCCGGUGCUGGAAGGUUAAGGAGAGGACUUUUUCGGUCCGAACUGAAGCCCCAGUGAACGGCGGCGGUAACUAUAACCGUCCUAAGGUAGCGAAAUUCCUUGUCAGGUAAGUUCUGACCCGCACGAAUGGCGUAAUGAUAUGGGUACUGUCUCGACGAAGAGCUCGGUGAAAGUGCAUUGACGGUAAAGAUGCCGUCUGUCCGCAGCAGGACGAAAAGACCCCGUGGAGCUUUACUACAGUUUGGCAUUGGAUCGGGGAUAUACAUGUGUAGGAUAGGUGGGAGGCUUUGAAGCCCUGGCGCUAGCCAGGGUGGAGCCGCCGGUGAAAUACCACCCUUGUAUGUCUCUUAUCCUUACGUGGGCCAUAAAUUGCUUGCAAUUUAGGCUAAUGGUCAAUUGACAAUGCUCAUUGCUCAAUGAAUGGUCAAUGCAGUUAAUGCAGCAAUCAUUGAACUUUGAAACUUGAACAUUGAUUCAUUGGACCGGAAAUUGUCGGUAAUUUCUGGUCUGCGAACAGUGUCUGAUGGGUAGUUUAACUGGGGCGGUUGCCUCCCAAAGAGUAGCGGAGGCGUUCAAAGGUUGGCUAGGUACGGAUGGAAAUCGUGCCGAUAGUGUAUACGCAUAAGCCAGCUUGACUGCGAGGCCCACAAGCCAAGCAGGGACGAAAGUCGGAGUAAGUGAUCCGCUGUUUAGACCUUCGGGUCUUUAAGAGUGGUAUUGACAGCGCAAACGGAUAAAAGUUACCCCGGGGAUAACAGGCUUAUAGCGCCCAA
rnacentral:rRNA from 1 species